rnacentral:rRNA from 1 species
GAUGAACGCUGGUGGCGUGCCUAACACAUGCAAGUCGAGCGAUUCUCUUCGGAGAAGAGCGGCGGACGGGUGAGUAACGCGGGGGUAACCUGCCCUGUACACACUGAUAACAUACCGAAAGGUAUGCUAAUACGAGAUAACAUGCUUUUAUCGCAUUGUAGAAGUAUCAAAGCUUUUGCGGUACAGGAUGGACCCGCGUCUGAUUAGCUAGUUGGUGAGGUAACGGCUCACCAAGGCGACGAUCAGUAGCCGACCUGAGAGGGUGAUCGGCCACAUUGGAACUGAGACACGGUCCAAACUCCUACGGGAGGCAGCAGUGGGGAAUAUUGCACAAUGGGCGAAAGCAUGAUGCAGCAACGACGCGUGAGCGAUGAAGGCCUUCGGGUAGUAAAGCUCUGUCAUCAAGGAAGAUAAUGACGGUACUUGAGGAGGAAGCCCCGGCUAACUACGUG